rnacentral:tRNA from 1 species
GUCUCCUUAGCUCAGUUGGUAGAGCAACUGACUCUUAAUCAGUGGGUCUGCGGUUCGAGCCCGCAAGGGGACA